UUGUUACUAUAAUGGGGUUCGAUUCCUCUAUACUUUACUCGACUGUAUGAAUAUGGAAAUUUGCUUUCCAUUUUGAUUAUACACGAAAUGGAAAUGUAGCUGAGCUAGUUUUUAUUACCUGACGCUCAGUUGAUGCUUUGGUGGUCUGCGUCACAUAUUAAAAUAUCUUUUAAUAUUUUCUUGUUGAUAUAAAUCUAGAUUUCUCAAAUAAUUAAACAUUUUCAGCGAUAAGUCUUUAAGAAUUUAUCUGAAGUAUAGUCUCCAUAAACCACCUAUGGGUACAGGCCUACUCGCCAUCGUUAUCACUUUUCUCGAAGAAGCUUCCAAUGUUCUGCACCACAUAGCUCUAGGGCGAUCUACUGGUUGGCGAAUCUGGAAUGGUCGAUUUCAUUGUAUGGCGUGGCUCGCAAUAGAAUUGCAGUUUUUUCUCAAUGCCGGAGGACGCUGUCCCGACGUAGGCAUUGAGUUGAUGAAAACUUCGAGCUUUCAAGUAACAUUAACGAUCACUUUUCAGUGAUUGCUUCUGCAUAUGUCACAUAGGACUACAGAGAGAUUUUUAGUGCGGAGCAGCCCCAAAUGAACCAAAAAAGCCUACAUGAAAAUUUCAUCUUAAGCAACUAUUAACGCACGUUAUAUCCCAUUGCAGUUAUAGACUACUCUCUGAAGUUUUAAUGGUAAAUCUAUCAAUCUUAUGAGCAGUCAAGUACUGCAGUGGAUUAUCAACUAUUGCACAGACGUCUGUAAUCAAUACUAAAGCCACCGUGCUAUUUUUUAUCUAGAAGUAGAGUACUAGGUUCGAUGCUUAUCUUUUGCCAUUGGCUGCACAUUAAGCUUUCUUUUCUCCAUUCUUUUUUGUUGGUUUCUUAUUUAAAAUUCCACAAAUAUAUUGGAGCUGUCGUUUAAAUGUGUUAGAUCCGUCUGAUUCCAAUUUACUCACUCUUGGUUUCAUGUAGUAUUUUAAUAUAAUAAUAGGGAUGUUAGCUACCAUUCUUACUGCAAUUGUUGUUUAAUAUUAGUUUGAAAUUUCAUUUGAUUUAACAAAAUCAAUGUGCCUUCACAUUCUUCACUACUCUGAAGUAGUUUUCUUCCCAAUUUCCAUGAACUCUUCAAUUGGACGUUUUCCUUUUCUCCAAAAUUUAUGUUAUUUUUAAACGUCGUCGUCAUGGUAAUUUACAUAAGUUAAAUAUCACUUUUAUCAGAACGGAAAGUACAUGAUGUUGUGCAUCUUAAAAAUCAUUCGUAAGCUCGCAACGAUCGGCGUAUAAGUACGUACUACAACAACUUUGUCCGCCGUACACGAGAAAGGUCAACAUUUAAAUACGAUUUUGGAAUACAAAGUGCAUAGUGUACCUAAUGGACAGAAUGAAAUCACAUACGAAAAGUUAAUUUUGAAAACUUACUUGGAAUAUUGAUGGGGAGUGAUUUUCUGACUAUUGAUUUUUUUUCUUAUAGUUGAUGUAAAAAGUGAGAAAUUUUACGAUGAGGUUCAAGUACGCCAUUCGUAAUAUACUUAUUAUAUUGUAAAUUAUUCGGAAAGUUGGGGAAUUUUAAUAAAAGGGAAAACGUUGAUUUAGUGUUAUUACCUAGAAACAGCAAACGUAAUUUCUUUAUU
rnacentral:lncRNA from 1 species